rnacentral:rRNA from 1 species
UACGGAGGGAGCUAGCGUUAUUCGGAAUUACUGGGCGUAAAGCGCACGUAGGCGGCUUUGUAAGUAAGAGGUGAAAGCCCAGAGCUCAACUCUGGAAUUGCCUUUAAGACUGCAUCGCUAGAAUUGUGGAGAGGUAAGUGGAAUUCCGAGUGUAGAGGUGAAAUUCGUAGAUAUUCGGAAGAACACCAGUGGCGAAGGCGACUUACUGGACACAUAUUGACGCUGAGGUGGCGAAAAGCGUGGGGAGCAAACAGG